rnacentral:rRNA from 1 species
CGCGUAGGCGGCCAAGCAAGUCAGGGGUGAAAGGCCUGGGCUCAACCUGGGAACGGCCUCUGAAACUGCUAGGCUCGAGUGCGAGAGAGGAUGGCGGAAUUCCCAGUGUAGAGGUGAAAUUCGUAGAUAUUGGGAAGAACACCGGUGGCGAAGGCGGCCAUCUGGCUCGUGACUGACGCUGAGGCGCGAAAGCGUGGGAGCAAACA